rnacentral:rRNA from 1 species
AUUGAACGCUGGCGGCAUGCUUUACACAUGCAAGUCGAACGGCAGCGCGGGGGCAACCCUGGCGGCGAGUGGCGAACGGGUGAGUAAUGCAUCGGAACGUAUCCUGUAGAGGGGGAUAACCAGUCGAAAGAUUGGCUAAUACCGCAUACGCUCGGGAGAGGAAAGCGGGGGACUCGCAAGGGCCUCGCGCUACAGGAGCGGCCGAUGUCCGAUUAGCUAGUUGGUGGGGUAAAGGCCUACCAAGGCGACGAUCGGUAGCUGGUCUGAGAGGAUGAUCAGCCACACUGGGACUGAGACACGGCCCAGACUCCUACGGGAGGCAGCAGUGGGGAAUUUUGGACAAUGGGCGAAAGCCUGAUCCAGCCAUGCCGCGUGCGGGAAGAAGGCCUUCGGGUUGUAAACCGCUUUAGUCCGGGAAAAAGGGGUGCGAGGAUAAUACCCUCGUGCUUUGAUGGUACUGGAAGAAUAAGCACCGGCUAACUACGUG